rnacentral:rRNA from 1 species
AUGAACGCUGGCGGCGUGCCUAAUCCCUGCCAGUCGAGCGAACAGACGAGGAGCUUGCUCCUCUGACGUUAGCGGCGGACGGGUGAGUAACACGUGGAUAACCUACCUAUAAGACUGGGAUAACUUCGGGAAACCGGAGCUAAUACCGGAUAAUAUAUUGAACCGCAUGGUUCAAUAGUGAAAGACGGUUUUGCUGUCACUUAUAGAUGGAUCCGCGCCGCAUUAGCUAGUUGGUAAGGUAACGGCUUACCAAGGCAACGAUGCGUAGCCGAUCUGAGAGGGUGAUCGGCCACACUGGAACUGAGACACGGUCCAGACUCCUACGGGAGGCAGCAGUAGGGAAUCUUCCGCAAAGGGCGAAAGCCUGACGGAGCAACGCCGCGUGAGUGAUGAAGGUCUUCGGAUCGUAAAACUCUGUUAUUAGGGAAGAACAAAUGUGUAAGUAACUAUGCACGUCUUGACGGUACCUAAUCAGAAAGCCACGGCUAACUACGUG